rnacentral:rRNA from 1 species
GACAGAGGGUGCAAACGUUGUUCGGAAUUACUGGGCGUAAAGCGCGUGUAGGCUGCUUCGCAAGUCGGAUGUGAAAGCCCUGGGCUCAACCCAGGAAGUGCAUUCGAAACUGCAGAGCUGGAGUCCUGGAGAGGAAGGCGGAAUUCUCGGUGUAGAGGUGAAAUUCGUAGAUAUCAGGAGGAACACCGGUGGCGAAGGCGGCUUUCUGGACAGAUACCGACGCUGAGGCACGAAAGCUAGGGGAGCAAACAGG